rnacentral:rRNA from 1 species
GAUGAACGCUGGCGGCGUGCUUAACACAUGCAAGUCGUACGAGAAAUCCCGGGCAACUGGGAGAGUAAAGUGGCGCACGGGUGAGUAACGCGUGGGUAAUCUACCUUGGAGUUCGGAAUAACACUUCGAAAGGGGUGCUAAUACCGGAUAUCGUCCCAGGAGUUUCGGCUUCGGGGAUGAAAGAUGGCUGAGGCUUGCAAGCUAUUGCUCCAAGAUGAGCCCGCGUACCAUUAGCUUGUUGGUGGGGUAACGGCUCACCAAGGCAAUGAUGGUUAGCUGGUCUGAGAGGAUGGCCAGCCACACUGGAACUGAGACACGGUCCAGACUCCUACGGGAGGCAG